CUUGCUGUGAAUGGAGAGCGGGCUGCUAGAAGGGGGUGGCACUGUGAAUGGGGAACACAUGUGCCUAAGGAGUAGAAAGCUUUGGCUCAGAUAGCACCCUCAAAAGACUUCCCCAGACUGGCUUAGGGAUGCUGAUGUGACCUUGCCUGGCAGCCCCCAAAGAAGGAACUGGGUGGACUACAUCGACAGUGCUCCCCUCUAUCUGAAGCCUAGCAAGGAAGUUGCAGAGGCUGGACAGUUCGGGUGCUGGCUGGAGCCAGAGGAGGAAGAACACUGUUCCUGGCUGCUGAGGAAGUUGUAGCAGCUGGACAGAGCAAUUGCUGGCUGAGACCAGAAGGAGUUGAAGUCUGGGAGACUCCACAGACUGUGUGUGACUCAGCCGGAGGGCUAAGUCCCUGAAACCCCAGCUGAAAGUGAAACUGCUGGCAGAGAGCACCACAAAAGCAGAGAGUGCAGGCAUGCACCUGGCCAGCAGGAGGC